rnacentral:rRNA from 1 species
GAUGAACGCUGGCGGCGGGCCUAAUACAUGCAAGUCGAGCGAACAGACGAGGAUCUUGCUCCUCUGACGUUAGCGGCGGACGGGUGAGUAAUACGUGGAUAACCUACCGAUAAGACUGGGAUAACUUCGGGAAACCGGAGCUAAUACCGGAUAAUAUAUUGAACCGCAUGGUUCAAUAGUGAAAGAGGUUUUUGCUGUCACUUAUAGAGGGAUCCUCGCCGCAUUAGCUAGUUGGUAGGGUGACGACUUACCAAGGCGACGCUGCGUAACCGACCUGAGAGGGUGAUCAGGCACACUGGAAAGAAGACACGGUCCCGACUCCUACGGGAGGCAGCAGGGGGGAAUAUUGGACAAUGGGCGAAAGCCUGAGCCAGCCACGCCGCGUGAGUGAAGAAGGUCUUCGGAUUGUAAAGCUCUUUAAGUAGGGAAGAAGGAAAGUAAAAGAAUACAUUCCUGUCUUGACGUUACCAACAGAAAAAGCAACGGCUAACUUCGUG